UAUAGGCCUGCUGCGGGGCGAUCAUGUGCACGUGGCCGUCGAUGCCGGCCGCCGUCAGGAUAAGGUGUUCGCCGGAGAUGGCGUCCGUGGCCGCGCCCGUAAUCAGGUCGGGAUGUACGCCGCGCAUCGUGUUGGGGUUGCCCGCCUUGCCGAUGCCGGCGAUCUUGCCGUCCUUGAUGCCCACGUCGGCCUUCACGACGCCCAGCUUGGCGUCGAUGAUCGUCACGUUGGUGAUGACCAGAUCGAGCGAUCCCUCGGAAGAGGUCAUCGUGUUGGCCAGCCCCAUGCCGUCGCG
rnacentral:sRNA from 1 species